AUUGAACGCUGGCGGCAGGCCUAACACAUGCAAGUCGAGCGGAUGAGGGUAGCUUGCUACCUGAUUCAGCGGCGGACGGGUGAGUAAUGCCCAGGAAUCUGCCCGAUAGUGGGGGACAACGUUUCGAAAGGAACGCUAAUACCGCAUACGUCCUACGGGAGAAAGUGGGGGAUCUUCGGACCUCACGCUAUCGGAUGAGCCUAGGUCGGAUUAGCUAGUUGGUGAGGUAAUGGCUCACCAAGGCUACGAUCCGUAACUGGUCUGAGAGGAUGAUCAGUCACACUGGAACUGAGACACGGUCCAGACUCCUACGGGAGGCAGCAGUGGGGAAUAUUGGACAAUGGGCGAAAGCCUGAUCCAGCCAUGCCGCGUGUGUGAAGAAGGUCUUCGGAUUGUAAAGCACUUUAAGUUGGGAGGAAGGGCUGUAGGCUAAUAUCCUGCAGUUUUGACGUUACCAACAGAAUAAGCACCGGCUAACUUCGUGCCAGCAGCCGCCGCGG
rnacentral:rRNA from 1 species